GCGGGAGUAGCUCAGUUGGUAGAGCACCUGCCUUCCAAGCAGGAUGUCGUGGGUUCGAGACCCAUCUCCCGCUCCA
rnacentral:tRNA from 1 species